rnacentral:lncRNA from 1 species
UACGGCCGCCCCUACAUCUCCUCCGCCUGCGUCCUCCUCACCUCGUACAUCCUCUCGUGCGCCGAUCUCCUCCUGCUCCUUCCCGUUGUUCCUCUCCCUCUUCUCGGCGGCCCUCUGCCGUGGACACAACAGCGCUCACACACAGCCCAGGUGGAGGAACAGCAGGCCAACGUCGCUGCCGUAGCGGUGGUGCAGGGUGUCCAACGAGCGGUGUGGGAGCUGGUCGACGAGGUGGAGACGACUAGGAGCAACGCUGUGGCGAGGAUGACAUAUGAUCAUUACAUCUUGGUGGAUUUUUAUCCCAAAGGUAAGAUGGCAUACAGCUCACUAUGCCGGCAACAAAGAAAAGACUUCGAGGUUGUGAUUGAGGAUGGCAGGUCCUAAGUCACAGGGAACGUGGAACGUGGGUGAGUUCCUCGUCCCGGAACGAGGAACGGGAACGAAGCGGAACUUUGUUCUGAAAACGGAGGGGUCGUCGUUCCAAUACGUGGCAUGGCGAUGAAGGAACGAGAAGGUGGUAGGAUGGAGGAACCAAGUACGCUGAGCUAAAAAUAAAAGGGGAACUCACCGGAUCAACGCUUCAAGCGACGAGCAACGUUGUUGCUCCUUCGCUGCUCACCGCCAUCAUGCCCCGAGGUGCCUCCGCCAGCGCACGCCGCCGCCGUCGAGCAGGGGAGAGGGCUGCACUGCUAGUCGCAGGUCCAUAUAUAAGAACAGCCGGCAAAAUCCUUGACACAUCUAGAGGGCAAGAAAUGAUAAAUGGAUCUUUGUUCCGAGCAGAUCGAAGAAUAUGUAUGUUGGGCAGGAGAUAAGGGGGAAAUUUCAGCAAUCCAACUUAUUUACUCACCGACGGAGCAACAUUUGCUACUGGCCAACUAUUAAGUAGAAAAUGUUUUCAAUGGAAGAAGAAACCUGCACACUUGUGACUCAAAAAUCGUAGUCUGCGGGUCAUGAAGUUUCACUACAAAAUACAAACUAGCUAUUUUGAACUGAAUAUUGAUUCACAUAUUAGAAAUGAUCAAUACAGAAAUUUUACAUGGCUGUAGUGCAUUUAAAUAUCAUUUUUAGGGGGUAAAUAUAGUGCUCAAUUUUCUUUC